rnacentral:rRNA from 1 species
CGGACGGGGGAGUAAUGUCUGGGAAACUGCCUGAUGGAGGGGGGUAACUACUGGAAACGGUAGCUAAUACCGCAUAACGUCGCAAGACCAAAGAGGGGGGAACCUCGGGGCCUCUUGCCAUCGGAUGUGCCCAGAUGGGAUUAGCUAGUAGGUGGGGUAAAGGCUCACCUAGGCGACGAUCCCUAGCUGGUCUGAGAGGAUGACCAGCCACACUGGAACUGAGACACGGUCCAG